CAAAUGAGGGUCACAAGGAAAAUGAUUUGAAAGGAAAAGAAUUUUAAGAUUCUCAGUUGGUGGCUUGAAACUCACGAGUACUGCUGGUGGUAUGCAGAACAAGAGGGCAAUUAUUGAAGUGUAAGCAUACACAUUUGUACUGUCCAUACCUGUCUGUUAAAUUAAAAGAACCAAAAGAGGGGGGAAAAAAAGUCAGGAACAAAGGUAAAAUAACAUGAACGGAAAGAGCUUAGAAGUCUGAUACUAAACAAGAGAGAUGAUGAAUCAUGAUUAGUAUUGCGUAUACAUUAUUUUGUUUCAAAGCUAUCCGGGAAAUUCUCGUUGGACAUAUCUUAUCUCAAAGUAGUAGUUCAUGAAAUUUUGUUAAGACUUAUUUCAACAAGAUUCCAUCAGUAUUAUGGACUCAAUUGCAUGUCUAAUCAAAGAAUGAUUCAAAUCUGAAUUUCUGACAAGAAGGAAAACCAAUGGCCAAAAAACAUCAUAUGCAGUGGUCAGGGUUCUUGGAGGGAGUAUCUUUCUUUCAAUCAAAGUCAUACAACAGACUAUGUCAUUCAGCUCCAUACAUUAAGCUAAAGAGCUUUCAAACGUACCUAGAUCAUUUGAGCCAUCAUUAACAAUGUACAAAACGAAAAAUACUGAGGAUCAUACUUGUUAAUCAUACCAUUGCUUUCUUUGAAUAGAUACUUCUGUAUGUAAAUGCAAUGUUUGAAAUCAUUGCACUAAUGAAACCAGUCCAGUUGAAAGAAAGUUCAGUCAGUGAAGCCAUUGAUACACCUUAAAUUAACAGAUACAGUCAGUAGCUAAAAACCAUAUAUGAAGAUCUCACAAUGUAUAUAGAUGUGUGUGUAUAUAUAUAUAUUCAAGUGGUAUCAGUAAUUCAUCUUACAUGUGAAGUUCAGUUAAAUUAAAAUGUUCUAUAUCAACGAAGAGAAUCUGAUGGUUACCAAUAACAACAGGAGCCAAUGAUAACCACAGAGACAAGGGAAUCUGGUGGCCCAAAACAAACUGAGAGGCAGCAGCAUUGAAGAAUGGCUCCAAAGCUGUGAAAUAAUGCAGGAAGAUUGUUAGGGAACAUAAACCAUCAUUCUCAAUUUAGUAAGGGUCAUCUAUUUUUUGUUCUUGAAAGAAUAUAAAUGCCUGUUGAAAUUCAUCAAUGUCUUAAUCAAUUACUACAUUUCCUUGUGGACAGGGUUAAUAGAUACAAUGAAUAUCAAUAAAAUUAGCAUGCUUAAGAUGCAUUUUGCUCUACCUUUAAUGGUGUGGGUAAAAGAUACAGCUACAGUGGCAAAUGACACAUUGGACAUGACAUGUCCA
rnacentral:lncRNA from 1 species